UACGUAGGGUCCGAGCGUUGUCCGGAAAUACUGGGCGUAAAGGGCGCGUAGGCGGCACUGUUAGUCAGGCGUGAAAGUCCUGGGCUCAACCUGGGAACUGCGCUUGAUACGGCAGAGCUAGAGGAUGGAAGAGGCUCGCGGAAUUCCCAGUGUAGAGGUGAAAUUCGUAGAUAUUGGGAAGAACACCGGUGGCGAAGGCGGCGAGCUGGUCCAUUACUGACGCUGAGGCGCGACAGCGUGGGGAGCAAACAGG
rnacentral:rRNA from 1 species